rnacentral:lncRNA from 1 species
UGCGAUGGAAUGGUCUUUGUAAGACUAGAGAUGCUUCCAUUGACAGCCGCUUUUGCCCAUAGCUGAGGAUGUGUUGAUUGUUUUAGUAUCUUUAACAGGGAGCUUGAAAUUUCAUGAGUUUUGUGGACUAUGUAACCAGGGAGUAGGGAGGGGCUUGGGACCUCCAUUCAUUUUCCCCCAUAAGGGUGAGUGUAGCUGCCACUGGGAUCCUUGAGAAUAAUCUUCGUGCUGAGUUUCAUGCCUUGCAGAUGUGAAUUAUUUGUUACUGCACAUAAUUGGGGUUCUCUGCCCCAUGGGCAUAAACAAGCCAAUUAAUUAUGGCACCAGUCUUUGGGAAAAGAGAUUAGCUUUAUUCUGCGUGAUCCAUCUGCAGGGAGAACGUGAGGCUUGUGCCCUGAGAUCUGCCUCCCCGAUUCAGGAUUUAGGGCGAAAUUUCAGAGGUUAGGGAGAAAAGGCUGGCACGUGCAAACACUGGUGGAGAGGCUUUGGGGGUCUUCAAGCAUUUAUGGUAAGGUUUCAAACAUUUAUGACAGGGUUCUAAACAUUUACGAUGAGGUUCUAAACUUUUAUGAUAGAGUUCUAAGCAUUUGGAUGAGGUGGGGAAGGAAUUUUAACACUGGCUCUUCCUGAAUGAGGGACAUCUUGCUUCAGAUAAGAGUCCAACUUUCAAGUUCUGGUUGUGUCCCCAUCCUUGGGUUCUGUGGGGAGGAGGAUGGUUCCAUGGUCGGGUCAGGUCUAGAUUUCUUCUGCGCAUGCCCUGGCCACAUGACUGCAGAUUUUCUGAAAGGCAAAUCUUAAUCAUUCUGUUGAUUCUGGAUGGAGUCAGUUGAAGUGAUCCUGGGGGGGGGGGGGGGGGGGGUCUGAGGUUACAUAUUCAUUCACAUAAAGUCUGUGGGGAGGAGCUGUUAUUUCCACCAAAUUCCAUUAUUCUCUGGCUAAUAUUUCUUUCCUGGUAGUGGUGCACAAACUAUACUUUAAUGUUAUAAACAUCUGUCAUUUGCGACUCCCUCCUGAAUGUGUCUCUCCAUCCUCCAACAUCCACAGGAAUUUGAUAAGUGCUGUAGAAACACAGACCUUCCAGGUAAAGCCUUGCUCCAUCCCCGGAGACCUGCUUUGCUGGGUAGCCCUUCUGGGGGAUUUGUCGCAGACUGAGCCAUUCUUCUGGUUUUGUCAGGGACCCACUAGGGUGAGAUGUUCUGGAAGGGUCUCUGCUCCUUGCAUACAUCGGCAGCUUGCCACGAUGGAGGAAAUUUGGCAUCGCUGUUCUCUUAGAAGUAAAGCCUGUUCUUUGGUGGAUGUAAUAACCAACAAACCACAGUCAUGCUUUUGUACAUCUGAGGGACGAACAGGCCACACCAAGGGGACUUGACUCAGGCACACAUGUGUCUCAGGGUCAGACACUGGGGUCUUUCUCAGCGGCACCCCUCAGAGGCUGGGAGGAGAGCAGACUGCAUGCCUGAGAGCACCUCCCAACAAAAAAGCCAUUGGAGUGUGGCCGUGUGUGGCAGUGGUCAUUUCACAUAGGCCACUAUGCGUCCUGGGCAAAGAGUGAUUUAUAGGCAUUGUGACCUGGUCCUGUGACCUGGACAUGAAUGGACCCUUGUUCCAUUUGUUUCUAUUCAGUUGGUCAUCUGGUCAUCCUCAAAUCCCAGCUCUGUGAGAAAGGACACCGCUUGUCCCCAAGGCAGGCUCUGAGACCUUGAUUGCUCAAGACCCAGGUGGGAAGGAGUUGUGGGUCACAAACUCGUGGGGACGUUUGACUCCUGGACUGCUGGCUGUCCCUCCAGUCACAGAGGGACACACACUCACUGCAUGUGAGGCUGGAAACAUGUUUUUUUCCAUGGAGUUGCUGUCCACUUGACCUGCUGAGGGUAUUUUAUAAGAGGUCAAGUUUUAAGAGGUCUGGCUCAAGAGCAUCUUUACAAAUUGAGAAAGUAAGACACGGUACACCUAAGGGAACUGCUGAUGUCUGUCUCCCUCCACGGAAGAUUCUGGUCUGUGGCCUCAUACACGAUCUUCCUUUUUAGUAACUGCUCUGUCACCCAAAGGGGCCCCAAAGCUGCUGUUCCCUCAAAAUGCCUUUCCAAAAUUAUGCAGAAUUCUAUGUAUCGAAAGGAUACUAAGAGGAAAAGUAAGAGCGGAAAAUUUAUCAUACCUUCUUAAAUUUUUUAAGUGGUAAAAUACACAGAAUAUAAAGUUUACCGCCUUCACCGUUUUUAAGCACACGUUUCAGUAGUAAGUACUUUCACUUUGUCGUGCAACCGUCACCACCACCCAUCUCCAAAACUUUUUCAUCUUCCUAAACUGAAACUCUGCACUCAUUAAACACUCAGUCCCCAUUCCCCACUUCCACCAGCCCUGGUGACCGC